rnacentral:lncRNA from 1 species
CCCCGGUAUCGGAUUUUUAGAAUCUGUAAUCCACUUCGAUAUCGACUGUUAUUGAUCCGGUACCGAUAGUUGGAACUCCGCAAUGGAAGCGUCGAAUCGGGUUUUUACCAUAAACCCGUCUCUUCAGCAAAAGCUGAUAUGAUCACAAAAGAAAGAAAAACCAAAACAAAAAAUCUGUCGAUAAAAUAAUAUUUAUUAAAUAAGAAAAGAUUACACCUAACUUCUCUUAUACAUAGAGUAGUUAUAACUCGAGCCAUCUUUUUUUGAAUCUCUCAUGCUCUUCUCUCGUCUUCUAUAAACCCACAAAAAAGACAACUCUCCACGUGCACCCGUGCAUUAGGUGCACUCAACCAUGGCUUUCUCUCCCCUGAUAGGAUUUCACCCAAGAAGGCAUUCUUUCUCACCGUACGUACUCUCUUCAAGAAUCUCAACUUGGCUGUACUACCCCCUUAAGCUCUCCACCAAUGAAGCUAUUUAUAAAGUUUACGUCAAAACGUACUCAAAUCCUAAUAUAUAGAAUUCCAACUCCAAUAAAUAUUUAAAUCUUAAUUAAUUUAUUUUCAUUAGAUUUAAAUAUUUAUUAUAAUCUAGUUAGAUUCAUACUCUAAUUAAUAUUUAAAUCUUAAUUUAUCUCCAAGAGAUUUAAAUAUUAAUUCUUAUAAAAAAUUAUACUAUUUUUGUAGUGCUGCUUAUUCCAAUUAAUUA